rnacentral:rRNA from 1 species
AGUGAACGCUGGCGGUAGGCCUAACACAUGCAAGUCGAACGGCAGCACAGUAAGAGCUUGCUCUUACGGGUGGCGGGUGGCGGACGGGUGAGGAAUACAUCGGAAUCUACUUUUUCGUGGGGGAUAACGUAGGGAAACUUACGCUAAUACCGCAUACGACCUACGGGUGAAAGCAGGGGAUCUUCGGACCUUGCGCGAUUGAAUGAGCCGAUGUCGGAUUAGCUAGUUGGCGGGGUAAAGGCCCACCAAGGCGACGAUCCGUAGCUGGUCUGAGAGGAUGAUCAGCCACACUGGAACUGAGACACGGUCCAGACUCCUACGGGAGGCAGCAGUGGGGAAUAUUGGACAAUGGGCGCAAGCCUGAUCCAGCCAUACCGCGUGGGUGAAGAAGGCCUUCGGGUUGUAAAGCCCUUUUGUUGGGAAAGAAAAGCAGCAGGUUAAUACCCCGCUGUUCUGACGGUACCCAAAGAAUAAGUACCGGCUAACUUCGUG